AAAGGGAGACCUAAUUCAGGUAAAAGACGAAAAAAAAGUAGUCGCUACCAAGAAUCAAUCCCAAAAGGUCGGAGCGAGGCGAAAUUGGCUUUCAAACUAGGUUCUGGGUUCACACAAGACCUGAAUCAGGAACAAGGGCUAUUAGCUCAGGUGGUUAGAGCGCACCCCUGAUAAGGGUGAGGUCCCUGGUUCGAGUCCAGGAUGGCCCACCUGCACAGGUGGCAAAAACAAGAGAAGCUCCGAAUCAGCACCUUACCUUACUGACAUAGUAAGAGAGAAUGCUGGCUCUGAGUAAAGAGUCCAGAGGAACCUUGAAAACUGCAUAGAGCUAGGUGAAAAAGCCAAAAAGGAAGACCGCAAG
rnacentral:tRNA from 1 species